rnacentral:lncRNA from 7 species
AACUCAAGUGCAAAUGUCUCACCAGAACUUUUAAAUAUUUGCUUUUCCAGGUGUGUCAGAAGUUUGCACAGGUCACAAGGCAGGAUGCAGGGAACACGUUGGACCAUGGCAGAGCAGGUGCAACAGCAGAAAGAGGAGUACUUGGGCAGGAGACCAAGUCAUGGGGAGAACCGAGUACGUACAAGUUGGCUACCAAGGUUGCUCCAGCUUUCUCCAGCUUGUGGCAAAAGCCUGGCUCCUGCCCCCUGUACUGAGACCAUCUAUGUGUCAGAAGCACAGAAGGAACAUUUAUUGCGCUCCAAGAACAAAACUCCUAUUGCUCCUGGGCCAUAUACAGUGUGCACAGCUGUGGCAGCAGCUCCUUAAGGUGGAGUUGAGUGACGCAGCCAGGCACCUAGAGGACUGCUGUCGCAUGAGAAGGCUAAUACUAUGCCAAAGCAUGAAUGCCUUUACAUUCUAAGGUCUUCUGCUAAAAAGAAGGUGAAAAUGGAGCACAGCAACCUUCAAGGACCUCUGUAAAAAAGCAAAGCUAUCUUCCCCUUCUGGAAAGAGAGAACCUCAGCACAUCUGCCUUUUCUCAGUCCAAAAAUGCUCUUUAUGAACUAUGGGAGAGCAGCCAUGGAGCACUCUGGCUGGAAAGAAAGUCUGGCAACAAAACCUACGCCCAGAAGUCACAGAUUUUCAGUGACAGGAUACAAACAUGUUUCUGAUUGAUAUCAAAGCAGUUCAUGUUACCAUGCUAACUGAUGGGAGAGAAUGAAUAUAUAAAAGAAAAUAUAAACUAUAAUUACAUAUUUGGAAUUUCAAAUAAACCAUGACUACAAAGCAAACCUGUCCACACCAAGCAAUGUAGUUUCUAAAGCAUCUAGCAUGUGAGAUUUUUCCACAAACAUACUGGAAAAAUUCCAUCCAGAGCAGGGCAGCUCAUGAAGUCCCAUGGGGGGACUUUCACUUUCCCUUGGCAGCUUUCCCUUCUGGAUAAAUCACUUUUCUACUUUUCCCUAACCCAGCCCAAGCUGUAUCCUGGAAACCUGCAGAAGGAGCCAAACUGAACCAACCAUUGUGGUAAACAAACAGCCAAAAAUCUUUUCAUCUGGGCAUGGUGGGUUCGUAUAUGAUUGAACGAAUAACUGUCAGAACUACAUCUAAAGAAAAGUUCAGCCUUUCCUCAACACAACUCUCCCUCUCACCUCUGACAAAACUGUAGAGUCCAGAGAUAGGCCCUUGGGAAGAGCCCUUCCUGUCUGACACUGUCUCCAUGCUCCUCUGCAGCUGUUAAGGGACAGAAAAAGUAGAGGAGAUGCAAGAGAAAAAGUCUUCAGUCAGACUCCUCAAACUUGAGGGGCAGCUGGCCCACAGUUGUAUUCAACUGUGUCAGUAUUCAAGAAGCUGAACACAUCCCUCUUCUAGAUUAAUAUUGAAUUUCUGGGGCAAUAUCCUCUAAUAUCAAUUCAUUUCUUCAGUAACACAUUUUUUAUCAUCUAGGAAAUACUACUUUGGGUUCCCUAAGCACCUCUGAUGAAUAUGAGAUGUACACCUACAACAAAGAAAGCACAAAUGCCCACCAGGAACUUUCACUGUCAGUGCAUGAUAGAUAAAAAGUAGAAGCCCUAAGAUCACUGAGCACUCAUCAACGUAGCCAACAGCCUGGACUGCAUAGUUCGUUUUCAAAAAGUUUCAAGCAGAAGUGGGAUGUAGAGAUAGUUCAGCAACAAAUCCC